rnacentral:rRNA from 1 species
UACGGGGGGAGCAAGCGUUGUUCGGAUUUACUGGGCGUAAAGGGCGCGCAGGCGGUCGUGACAAGUCACUUGUGAAAUCUCCGGGCUUAACUCGGAACGGUCAAGUGAUACUGUCGGACUAGAGUACAGAAGGGGCAACUGGAAUUCUCGGUGUAGCGGUGAAAUGCGUAGAUAUCGAGAGGAACACCUGCGGCGAAGGCGGGUUGCUGGGCUGAUACUGACGCUGAGGCGCGAAAGCUAGGGGAGCGAACGGG